rnacentral:rRNA from 1 species
GACGAACGCUGGCGGCGCGCCUAAUACAUGCAAGUCGAACGGGUCUCCUUCGGGAGGUCAGUGGCGGACGGGUGAGUAACACGUGGGUGACCUGCCCCGAAGUGGGGAAUAACGCUGCGAAAGCAGCGCUAAUACCGCAUAUGCUUAACGGUCCAAUCUGUUAAGCAAAGCAGCAAUGCGCUUUGGGAGGGGCCGUGCGGCAGAUUAGCUAGUCGGUGGGGUAAUGGCCUACCGAGGCGACGAUCUGUAGCUGGUCUGAGAGGAUGACCAGCCACACUGGGACUGAGACACGGCCCAGACUCCUACGGGAGGCAGCAGUAAGGAAUAUUCCACAAU